AUUGAACGCUGGCGGCAGGCCUAACACAUGCAAGUCGAGCGGAUGAAGGGAGCUUGCUCCUGGAUUCAGCGGCGGACGGUUGAGUAAUGCCUAGGAAUCUGCCUGGUCGUGGGGGAUAACGUCCGGAAACGGGCGCUAAUACCGCAUACGUCCUGAGGGAGACAGUGGGUGAUCUUCGGACCUCACGCUAUCAGAUGAGCCUAGGUCGGAUUAGCUAGUUGGUGGGGUAAAGGCCUACCAAGGCGACGAUCCGUAACUGGUCUGAGAGGAUGAUCAGUCACACUGGAACUGAGACACGGUACAGACUCCUACGGGAGGCAGCAGUGGGGAAUAUUGGACAAUGGGCGAAAGCCUGAUCCAGCCAUGCCGCGUGUGUGAAGAAGGUCUUCGGAUUAUAAAGCACUUUAAGUUGGGAGGAAGGGCAGUAAGUUAAUACCUUGCUGUUUUGACGUUACCAACAGAAUAAGCACCGGCUAACUUCGUG
rnacentral:rRNA from 1 species